GCCAAUGUGGCAUAGUGGUUUGAGCAUCGGACUAGGACUCUGGAGACCAGGGUUCGAAUCCCAGCUCAGCCA